UCCGGUCCUCAGAUGGUUCUCAGAGGAAAACAACAUCGAAUGAAAUUAUUUUCGAAAUGGGCGUCUUUGACGUUGUUUCCUAAAUGUAUCUCGAUUUCGUAAUUUUGCAGAUCAGAGACUUCACGAGUUUACGUUCUAGCUAAUGCCAUAGCCAACCAAGGAGCUUUCCCAGAUAACUGAAGGCGUCUGGAUAUGAUCUGCAGUUGCAGAUGAACUUCUUGUCCAAGUUCUCCUGGAAGCCUUUGACAACAUGGAGAAGAGUUGGGACAGCAUAGAUGAAGCAGGAGACUACUCAACAGAUGAAACUAGAAAUAUACCAAGCCAUUCAUGUCAGAAAAUCACUGAACACAAGGGAGCAGAAGGGGGAGAAGAGGUCCUGACUGACAAAACAUAUAAGAAGAAUAUGGCCGAAUUUAAGGUGAAGAAUGAAGAUGACUCUAGUCCUUUUUCGGACAUCCACAGUCAUUCAAAGAUCAUGGCUCAAGAUCUUCAACGAGGGGCAACAGAAGUUAUCCAAGAUAAGUGUUCCCCUUUCUUUGAAAGAUUAUGCCCUGUGGGCCUAACCAAUGUUCAGGAAAGUUGUAUUUUGGCUUCUGGAUUUGAUGUAAAAAAGAAGACCGGUAGAGAUUCUGCUGCAGUGGGGAUCGGUACUAUAGUUUCUUUCUCCCCCUUUUCAAGCAAUCUGUCAAAAAAUAUAAAGGGAACUGUCACACAGUCACCCAUAGACCUUGAGUUACAGCAAUGUUCUUUAUCAGACUCUUCUCUAAGUGACCCCGGACAAUAUUCAAGAGCGGUAGUGGAUGAGAAAGCCUAUGCUGAUGUAUCCCAUCAAAUGUUACCACUUUCGGAAACCAAAAAAGGAAAAGAGAAAAUAUCCUUUCAUUCACUUUUGCCUGUGAUGGAAAAGCAACAAAAGCAAAAAGUUGGUCAGCCAUAUAAGAAAACUCUAGUGAAAAUGGCUAAACUUUCAGCAAUUGCCCAAGAAUGGGAUUCAAAUGCCACAGAAAUAUCCAGGGUGACUCGCAAUAAGGAUAAUCUAACACCCUCAUGCAAACAAACAGAUGAGAAGAAAAGGGAUGAAAUGUUAGAAUUUCCCCCAACUACCUCAAGUGCCACAAGCUUUGGAUGCAAUUCGACAUCUGAUUCUUCAAACCACCUUACUAUUUCACAUUCAGAUGACAUAAUAUCUAAAUCUCAAAUAACUGGUCAAAGCAUUUCUAUGGAAUUUAUCCAACCGCCCAGAGGACAGAGAACUUCAAAGACCACACAAAAAGCAGAAGAAGUCCCGGCGCUGAAAUUGACCACUGCCGCAGAGGGGAAAGAUUCUCCUAUAGUACAAGCUCUGGCACAAAACACAUUGGUGCUGUCCGAAACUGUCUGCUCAUUUGAUGAUAACACAGAGGAUGCAUUGAAAGUACAAAAGAUACCUGGAAAAAAUACAGCAAUAACGUCCAAAGCAGGAAAUAGAAGGACUCAGGCGUUCAAAAGAAACAGAAUGACUCUGAGCAGCCUCUUGACCACUCAGUCACAGAGUAGCAGCGCUACACCCCAAGAAAAUUGUAAUUUGGGACUCUCUCAAGAUGCAACUCCACUACAAUCAUCUGACAUAAAAAUGGAGCCUAAAUACUUGUAUAUAAAAACAGAGCCCAAAUUCUUGUCAGACACUGGUGUCUUGGAUGUCAAGAACAAUUUGAAGGAACACCGAAAAAGAGAACCCUCCAAAAACUUUACAGAAGGGAGUGGUAAAAGUCCUGGUGUGAUGUCUAGAUGCUUUGACUUGUCUAUCACUCAAAAAGACCAGGGGGCACCAAGUGACAUAAGGAGGGAAAUCAAAUAUGUCACUGCUAACACAUCAGCUGUAGGAAACCAGGGGGAAAUGACUCCGAGAACUCAAGCUCUCUCAGGACUGAAGAGUAUUGAGGAGGUGCUGAAAUUGAAGCGGAAAGCUGGUCGACCAUUCAAGAAAAAGACAUUGUUUAAAAUGGCUAAACUGCUAGCGAUAGCACAGGAAGGUGGAUCUAAUGAUAUGGAGAACUGUGGCAUGAUUGAAGAGUGUGUUCCAAAAUUCCAGCAGGUCCCUGCCUAUCACCCCCCCAAGUCAAAAGUAAAGAAGACGGAUACAAGAACCGUGGCAUCAAAUUCACCUACAAGCACCUCAAGAAAAUCCAGCAGAGCGUGUAAAGCGACCCCAAAAACUGUUCAAAAGAUGCAAAUCCUCACACACACGCCCACCCAACCAGUGUUACCAGUUUCAUCCUACCUUAUUGAACCCAUUCUCAAAUUGGAGGACACAACUCUUAUCUCACCGUUGUCUGUCAUUCCUCUAUGUAGUGCAUAUAUUUCCCCUCAACAGGAAAGUCACAGAGGUGGAAAACCCCUGAAGAAAAACACACCAUUUUACAAAAACAUGACCACUGCAGUCCCACAUCCUCCAAUAUUUGCACUAGAUUCCAAGGCCCUUGCUGAGAUUGCCUCUACAGGGAAUGACAAAGAAACAAAGAAAGACAUUGGAUCCAAAAGUAAAUGCAAACGGGUGCCUAGAACUCGUGGUGUAUCAGAAUUACCGUGUACAAAUGGAAUUCCUCAGGGAGAUAUACAUACCCAGACUAAUAGGGAUGAGGUGUAUUCCAAGACUUCAGCACCUACUGUGCCACACUCCCAGAAAUCACGGAAACGUGGGGUUCAACAUAAAAAAGGUACAGAAAAGGCACUUGUCCUAUUAUCUGAUCAAACUGCCCUUCCUGUUUCAGAUUGCCAGUUGCAGGUGCAAAAUCACAGUGCAUCUCAGGAAACGCCAUCAAAGAUUGAGACAGAAUCUGACACUGUAAACCCGACACCGAGAACGGUUACAAAGAAUAUUCCAAAGAUGUGUAAGGCAAGAAACAAACCUUUACUGAAAGUUGAGAAAGCACAGGUGCCAACUCUGGAUCCUUCCCUUGUAGUGGAGCAUAUGCGUCCCGAUGUGCCAGAAGUGGAUCAAAUGAGACAAGUGGAAGCAGUGAUAGAGUCAGUAAUUAAAGAUGUUCACCAACCACUGGAACAUGUGGAUCAAAGAAACAAAAAUAAAGAAGAAGCCAGCAAUGUUUCUGUAUCAACUCUGGAUUCUUCACUUGGAAUGGAACAUAUGCGUCCUGAUGUGCCAGAACUGGAUCAUACAAGACAAAUGGAAGCAGUGAUGGAGUCAGUGACCGAGGAGCUACACAAAAAAGAGGUCAGUGAUGUUUCUGCAUCAGCAUACUCAACCUUUCCUUCCUCAGAUAACUUGUUUGAACAACAUAGCCAUAGUACAUUAUCUCAAUCGCCUUUGCUGACAUUAGAAAUAAAGACAGAAUCGGGCAGAAUCAAGAAUGCCCUACCCAAAAAGUCGAAAAUAUGCAUGAAAGAGAAAGAUACGUCAAAAAGCCUAUUGACAAAUCAUAAGAAAGCAUCUAUGCCAACUUCAGGUCCUUCAUCUGACACAGUGCAUGCGCCAUCCAAAAGAGUUAAGAAGAAUUCCACUACUUGUCAAGAAAGAAAAAGACCUCCACAGAAAGUUGAGAAAGCACAGGUGUCAACUCUGGAUAUAAACUACUCUGGAGAGAAACAUAGAAGUCCUGAAAUCCCACAAAUGGAUGAAAUGAGACAUGUCGAAGCAUUUAUAGAUGCAGUGAUUGAGGAUCUCCACAAACCACUCAAACCUAAGGAUCAACAAAAAAAGUUAAAAGAAGAGACUGAUAAUGUUGCUCCAUUAGAACCAACAACCUUUCCUGCCUUGGAUAACCUGUUGGAACAGCAUAACCAUAGUACAUUACCUCAAUCUUAUUUUCUGUCAUCAAGAAAGACAAAAUCAGGCUUGAAACAUGCCGUACCCAAAACGCCAACAAAGAAUAAGUCAAAAGCAUGCUUUAAAGGGAAACUCUCUAAAACUGAUAAGAAAGCAGCUGUACUAACUUUCGAUCCUUCUAUUGGAGGUGAAGAUGGAUAUCUUGAAAUGCCUCCCCACCUUAACCAAGCAGAGAAAGGAGGAAAGAGUGAUGGAAAGAACAAUAAUGAUGUAGUAAAGCAUGAAAUAUCAAUUACAGAUGACCAUUUGGAAACAGCAGCCCACAAACCACAUCAGCGUAAAGGGCCAAGAAAGAAGCUAAAAAAAGAGGACUGUAGUGUUUCCAAACCAGAUCAAGUAGAAUCCACUAUCUCAGACAGCCAGCUAAAACAGCAUGACCACAAUGCAUUAGAGCAUGUUUCUUUGCUAGCAUCAGAGACAAAGACAGAAUCAGGAUUGGAACAUAUCAUACCUGAAAUGGCAACAACAAAUAAGUCAAAAUCAUCCAGGAAAAGAGACCUCCCUUUAAAAGUACCCCCAGCAAACGCUAAAAGAGCAGCUAUGCUAACUUCAAAUCCUUCUCUUGGUGCAGAAGUUGGAUGUCUUGAAAUGCCUCCCCACCUUAUCCAUGCAAAGCAAGGAGGAAAGUGUGAUGGGAAAAGCAAUAACAAUGUAGUUAAACAUAAAAAAGAAACAGUGACAUCAGUGAUGGAAAAACAUAUGGAAACAGAGCGCAAACCACGUAUGGGGUCAAAAAAGAAUCUGAAAGAAGAGGACAGCAAUGUUUCCAUAUCAGAACAAGCAGCAACGCUUACCUCAGAUAAACAUCCCAACCAAGUUUCUUCGCUGGCAUCAGAGAUCAAGUCAGAAUCUAACAGUGGAUGUGUCACACCCACACAAAAAAAGUAUAUUUCAAAGGCAUACAAGAAAAGGAAGAUAAGUUCAAAACUUUCUCUUGGAAUGGAAUAUGGAUACUCUGAAAUGCCUACCAAUUUCACACAUGUGGACCAGGUUCAGAAUAUUCUUGAUACUUAUAAAAUCUCCAAAGUGAGAAAAGAAAUUACUGGAUCAAGCCGUCCAAUAUCCAAUCGAAGAAAUUCCAGACUGCCCUACACAUCUAAUUCACAUAUCACAACUGAGUCGAUGCAAGAUCAAGUAAUUCUAUCGGUUGCAUCAGAUCUCACCAAUAACCCUACCAGUCCUGUAUCAAUAACAGUGUCCUCAAUUGCAGUGCAAGGACAGAUUACUGAAUUAGUGAGUGUUGACUGUAUAGAGAAACGGUCACAUAAAAUGAGGACUCCUAAGACGAUAAAACCUCAGAGACCAAAAGGCACACGUCUUGAUAAGAAUAUCACAGAAGACAUGUCUCUCAAAUUCUUAUCAGCAUUUGUAAAAGAGGAACUCAUUGAGGAAGAAAAAAGCCCAGAAAAUAGGGGGAAAGAAGACGGCAAAGGGAAGAAAGGCAAAAUUCUCAAAAUAGACGAUGUGAAUCCACAAAGUAAACACAGCCAAUCUCAGGUGAAGGAUGGCAAUGCAUUAACAGAUGACAAAUUAAUUUUACAGGUCCCUAUAGAUGAAGCAGGGGGCUCUAUGUCUAUUGCAAUAGACACAAUCAGUACUGUGAUUCCAAAACGUAAAAAAGGUGGUCGUUUUUCCAAGAGAUUGCAAAAAAUGUCAUCUACCACCAACGUUCCCAGUGAACAGCAAUGCAUUAAUAUGUCCCCAGAAAAAACAUCUCUGUGUGUCAGCAAUAUAUCAGAAAUACAAAGAAAGCGAAAAGUUGACACCAGAAGUACUGAUUUUGUUAAUGCAGAUAUAGAAGUCCUAAAUCCUAAAGAUGAUCUUAGUGAUAGCUCUGUAUUAGUGGACUCGUCCUUACUGGAGAAUCAGAGAAUGAAGAACAAGGGUAAGAAAAAAUCCAAGACAAUUACGGAAGAACCGACAGUGGCCACAUCAGUUGUAAAAGAGAUGGUGGGGCAAGAUUUUCAGACCACCAUAACAGCACUGAAAAAUAAACAAGGUCGGCCAUUCAAGAAAAGAACUUUGAGAAUGGCAAAACGGCUGUCAUGUGGAGAGCAGAAGUCAAACACUAGCGGGGAACUUUCUGUGAAUAAGACACAGAGCUGUAAAUCAAAGGGAACUUCUAAGGGAGGGAAAAAGCACAAUUUGAACCCAGCGUCGUCAACCUUAAUAAGGCACACUAAAGCAUCCAAGGCAAUGAAGAUUGAAGACAUUGCUCUUAAACAAGAGCAAGAUGACAUAUGGGAGAUCAUUGAUGUAUCCAGCAACAUUUUCUCCUCACAAACUGUGAUUAUUUCCCCCAGUAUUUCAGGGCAAGAAUUUGAAACCUCCAUAUCUUCAGAAACAAUGUUCUCUCUUGAUGCAGGGCCGAUACAAGGAAUCCAGCAAAUUGAAUCUACCCAAUUAACACCCCAUCUCACAAAAUUACCUCAUAAAGUGACUGGCGUGAAGAAGAGAUGCAGGAGAAAUAAAACUGGAUGGGCUACAAAAGUGAAAUCCAAACGACCACUUUCCAAAGUGAACUCCGGGGAUAGGCUUGAUGUUUUGAUUCCGUCUACCAUUGACAACACUGGACUCAACACUAGCCUCUGUAAUUCGUUAAUGGAAAAUUACACAUUGGAAAGUGUUGAACAAGAAGAAUGUAGAGCACAAGAAGUGAAAGCACUAACAAACGAUUACAAUGUAGUUAAUGUUAGGGAGAUCAACUGUGGAGAUCAACUCCUAACAACAGCUCGUGCUAAAUUACAGCAUUCAAGUGUACUUCAGCAACAUUUUAAGACAAGGAAACCAAUGUCAUGCCACUUCUGUGGUCGCUCAUUUCGUCACAUAUCAGCAUACACAAUUCACAAGCGCAUUCACACAGGUGAGAAGCCUUACAGGUGCCAGAAGUGCGGCAAGAGCUUUGCUCAGCUCUCCAAGCUCAACUCGCACUCAAACAUCCACAAACAACAUGGACUCAUGCAAUGCCCAUGUUGCGUCACUCAGUCUCCAAACAAAGAUGACUUGAUUGAUCAUUUAAAGAUCCACAUGAAGGGCACCAAGAGGUUCAGUUUGAUUAAUAAAACGAGAAGAGCCAGAGAAAUUCAGAUCCAAUCUUGCGCUGAUUAUAUAGAUUCCCCAGUCUCUCUUAAUGGCAAGAAAACCCUUAGAUGCUCCACUUGUUUCAAAUAUUUUUUCAGCAAGGCCACAUUGAAGAUGCACCUGCAAACACACAGUGGAGUGAGUCGUUUCACCUGCAAAGUCUGUGGCAAGAUGUUUAGCAAGUUCUUAAGUUUCAAUGCACAUGAAAAAACACACUGGCCUGUUAAACCGUAUGCUUGCUCUGUGUGUGGAAAAGGCUUUGUUCUGCUUAGGGAGCUUAAAACCCACUCUCAUAUGCACUCAGGAGAGAUGCCUUUCUUCUGUAACCAAUGUGGACAGGCCUUUAGCGUCUUCUCAUCCUUGCGCACACAUCAAGUCUCCAAAGUGUGUUUUGAGGCUAGAUAUGAGGGAGAUGGAAACAAGGUUGACAUUGAGGGGUUCCUGGUGGAGCAAAGGACUGAUGGGCAGAUUAAUACCCCGAUGUACUUUAAAUGUCAGAUUUGCAAACAACUUAAUCGUCACUGGUGUCAGUACAUUCUUCAUCUACAAACGCACACUAAUAACAGGCCAAACCUUUGUGAGGUCUGUGGACAACGGUAUGACCAGGUCACGGAAUUAUGUGUUCAUUGUAAAGUUUGUUGCAAAUCAAGUGGAGAGGAGAGGGCAUGCAUUUCGUCCUUGUCACAGGUCUGGUACGAACCCCAAUCUCUGCAGAAUCAGACGCCUGAGCCUGAAAUUGAUUCUCUGUACAAUGAUAGUCAGGAAAUGUUAUCUUUGGAUGACCAGCAUCCCCAAUGUAAGGAGCCUGAGCCUCUGCCACCUCCGGAAACUAUGGAGGAGUAUUCCUCAGAUGUGCUUCCACAAAACCCCAAACCUGCUUGCCAGACCCCAGACCCCAGACCCCAUCCUUCUCCCUCAAACUCCAUGCGUGCAAGUCCUGCUCUAUCUUCCCCUUCUGUAAUGAGCUGUAAUUCCGUACGUGUGGUUCAACAGCCUGCAGGUGUUCGCUCUUGUUUACAGACCCAUGCCCCUUUUGACAGGUAUUCAUGUGGACAAUGUGGAAAAUCCUUUAACCAGUGGAACAAGCUCUGGUUGCAUCAGGGACUACACAGAGAAAAACGCUGUAGCUUCUCAUGCAAUCAGUGCAAUUUAGAGUUUCGCUUCUUUGGCUCCUAUAGGGAGCACAUGCAGGAACAUGCAGCACAGAGACCAUAUGCUUGUCCAUUAUGUCCCAAAACCUAUGUCAUUGAAGAAGACCUAAAUACCCAUCUGUGUGAAAAUCACCAGCCCCGUGAAAGCCUGAAAUGUGACACGUGUGGAAAGGAGUUCACCGGUUUCAGAAACUUGGAGAAACAUCGUCUUUUACACAGAGGUGCUAGCUCGCACUACUGUCUCCCUUGCAAGCUCCCAUUUCCUAGUAACCAAGCCUUACAGAAUCACUUGAAGGCUCACGAAGCCCGCCCUGUUAUCCCUCUCCCUGAAGGGCCAUUGGAACCACUUCUAUUUCCAUAUCGUUGUGGAAAAUGUAAUGCCAGAUUUACAACCACAGACUUGCUCCAAGCCCAUCAGGUUUGCCAUCUUAUUGGGGGGAAAAAAGCAUAUAGCAGCAGUUCAGCUAAUUAUGUUUCUGCAUCCCUUACCUCCAAGCUUUCAAACAAGCCAAGACAGAGAGUCACGCUGCUAUCCCCUCAGACAAUACCAAUUCCUCCGUUAAAGAAAAGGAACAUGUAUAGGUAUCCUAACCCUGAUCGUCUUUAUGUCGUCCCUAAAAUAUCCUCACAGCCAUCAGUCAUUAUUUCAGACACAGAAGAAGAGCCUCAAGAGCUUCUAAACAUUAGCUUAUCCUCAGUCUACGACACACCCUGUAACACUGUGUCCCUUGAACAUGAAGGGCAAAUCAUCCCUAGCAAUGAUUGUUGUGAGGCAAGCAACUCCGAUUUACCUCAGCCCUCAUAUCCCUCCUCAUGUGUUCUUACUGAUGAACCGACUCAAUGUACACCAAAGCCCCAAACAGACACCACACACAUGCCGACACAUGAACCACCCUCACCCUGUCCCCUGGAUAAAGGUCCUCAGAAUGCACCAGCCCAAAUACGAGACAAGUCUAAGGGUGAUCAUGAUGCUUUCUUUAGAGCCUCAACAUUUGUGAUACCAAGGGGCAAAAAGUGGGGGUAUGAUGCCUUUGAGUGUGCGGAUUGUUGGGUAACAUUUAGUGACGUCUCAGAGCUACAUGAGCAUUACAUACAUCAUGCCAGGGGGGUGAAGUGAAUGUCAAUACAUAUUUUCACAAUUCCACUAUUGUAUAUAAUUGCUUUUGAUGAUAUUGGUCAUUUACAUCUGAAGAGUACGAUAUCUGUUUCUGAGUUAACCAUAGUUGUCUUAAUAGCUAUAGCAAUGGUUAAAUGAAUAAUCCACACAAAACCCCUAAUUACUAUGAUUUACAUUGUUAAAUAACGCCUUUUGCAUUUUGUCGUUAUAAGGCAGGAAGCAACAUAUGAUAAUUGUUGUAGGAAUCUGUUGGAGCUCUCUCUGGACAGGAUUGCUGGCUAGCUACAAAACAGCUACACACGAUAAUAUCAAAAUCAAUAUCAGCAUGUGAAGUAGCUAGUCAGCUGUAAAAUCCCUGAAACACACUGCGCUAUUAAUUUUAGGAGUUACAAUCUCACCAUGUUCAACCUGGUGGAGAUUGUCUUGCUCAAAAUUGUGAGUGAGGUUGCUAUGGCAACGCAAUGACCCUGCCUGCACUGCGAAGGUCGCUUUGCGUGAUGGUAGUUAAAGGACAUUGAUCUGACGGUGCACUUUGAGUUUGAAUGAAAUAUAUACUUUGUCAUGACAAUAUAGACUGUUGGAUGUGUUCUAUACUUUUAUGUCAAUAUCAUCUAUUGUCUGAUUUGGCAAUCUGGAGUGCAGGUAAUUGUUUUAAAAGCAUUAUGAAAUAUGCUAGUUUGUUAUUGCCUAUCUCCAAAGACAAAAACUUUAUCGUGAUGACGCGGCACAACACAAUUUCGGACCAGAAGUUAAAUCAUGCCAUGGUGAAAAUAAUCACAGAACAGACUAUCACCAAUUUGAGAGGUGUUUCAUUCCUUCAGUGGAUUAUUUGUUUAACGUUGACAUGAACUUUUUUCCUUUAAAAAAAUUAUAUUUAUAUUAUUUGAAUAUAUCUGGGGAAUACGUUUUUCUCCCCCCCACCCCCAAGUUGUACAGUACUACAAAAAUGUGCCUUUUGAAUAGAUUACGAACUUGUCGUACUUUUAAACAGUUACUCCAAUCUGUCCUGUUUUAUUUGUUCUCUUUUUGGAAGAGCAUUUGGAAAGUACCCCUUUCAGACCCCUUGACUUUUUCCACAUUUUGUUACAUUACAGCCUUAUUCUAAAAUGGAUUCUAUUGUUUUUUCCCCCUCAAACAAUCUACACACAAAACACCAUCAUGACAAAGCAAAAGCAGGUUUUUAGAAAUUUGAGCCAAAAAAAUGAAUAAAUGAUGUUACAUUUACAUAAGUAUUCAGACCCUUUUCAGUGUUUUGUUGAAGCACCUUUUGCAGCAAUUACAGCCUUGAGUCUUCUUGGGUAUCACGCUACAAGCUUGGCACACCUGUAUUUGGGGAGUUUCUCCCAUUCUUCUCUAGAGAUCCACUCAAGCUCUGUCAAGUUGGAUGGGGAGCAUCGCUGCACAGCUAUUUUCAGGUCUCUCCAGAGAAAUCCGAUAGGGUUCAAGUCCGGGCUCUGGUUGGGCCUCUCAAGUACAAGUUUUUCGGUUGGAAGGUGAACCUUCGCCAAAGUCUGAGGUCCUGAGAGCUCUGGAGCAGGUUUUCAUCAAGGAUCUCUGUACUUUACUCCGUUCAUCUUUCCCUCGAUCCUGACUAGUCUCCCAGUCCCUGCUGCUAAAAAAACAUCCCCACAGCAUGUCGCUGCCACCACCAUGCUUCACCAUAGGGAUGGUGCCAGGUUUCCACCAGAUGUGACACUUGGCAUUCAGGCCAAAUAGUUCAAUCUCGGUUUCAUCAGACCAGAGAAUCUGGUUUCUCAUGGUCUGAGAUUCUUUAGGUGCCUUUUGGCAAACUCCAUGCGUGCUGUCAUGUGCCUUUCACUGUAGAGUGGCUUCUGUCUGGCCACACCCAUAAAUGCCCGAUUGGUUGAGUGCUGCAGAGAUGGUUAUCCUUCUGGAAGAUUCUCCCAUUUCCACAGAGGAACUCUAGAGCUCUGUCAGUGAUCAUCGGGUUCUUGGUCACCUCUCUGACCAAGGCCCUUCUCCCCCGAUUGCUCAAUUUGGCCGGGUGGCCAGUUCUAGGAAGAGUCUUGGUGGUUCCGAACUUCUUCGGUAGUGCUGGAGAAUUUUGUUUUGCUACCCUUCCCCAGAUCUGUGCCUCGACAUAAUCCUGUCUCGGAGCUCUACGGACAAUUCCUUCAACCUCAUGGCUUGGUUUUUGUUCUGACAUGCACUGUCAACUGUGGGACCUUAUAUAAACAGGUGUGUGCACAUCAUAUCCAAUCAAUUGCAUUUACCACAAGUGGACUCCAAUCAAGUUGUGGAAACAUCUCAAGGAUGGUCAAUGGAAACAGCUCAAUUUCAAGGCUCAUAGCAAAGGAUUUGAAUAUUUAUGUAAAUAAGGUAUAUUCCCUUUUUUUAUAUACAUUUGCAAACAUUUCUAAACCUGUUUUUACUUUGUCAUUAUCGGGUAUUGUGUAGACGUUACAACGUCUCAAAUGUCAAGGGGUCUGAAUACUUUCAGAAUGCACUGUACAUGUUUUUUUAUGUUUAACGUUGUAGAUGUUGUAACACACCUCUUUUAAAAUAACCAAUAUCAGUCCUCUUUAAAGUCAAUUGGAGGGUAACAAAAUGUUGUUAUCUUUGUAGUUACACUGCCCUUGCCUUUGCAUGAGGACUCAACUCUUUUACCAGUUCACUUCACCUAUUUUGUGGACUGAGUCCUCUUUUUUUGCAUUCACAUUGCUAUGUUUUGAAAAGAACCAACAUCUUUUUCCAACAUUCACUCAAUGCAGGACAAGCCAUUCAAUCACAAUGUGUUAUGGGACAGCUAGAUAUACAUACUUACAGUUUGGAAGCUAAUAGAUUGCUUUUAGUUCAAAUAUGAGACAUAACUGUAAUCAGAAGAUACGAUUAACGUGUAAAUAUUAUUGGUUACAGAACAAAUAGCAAUUGAGUAACUGCAGAUUAAAUAAUGCUGUAAUUGAAAAUUUUACACCCAAUGUAGGCUACUUCCCCUUUAAGAGCUAGAAUAGAUUUUAUAGGUUGUGAUUCUCACCAAAUAUGUUGUCUUCUCACACUAUUCAAACCCCACGAUCAAUAAACAGCUUAUAAAACUCUCUUAGCAUAUAGAGCACAUAUUGCAAACCAAUAAUCUGAACUAAAAACUCCACACAUUUUGGAAUUUCUGUGCAUCCUUGACAAUUGCUAGUCAAUAUCCAAAAACAGCUCACAUUUGUUUUCUUCCAUCAUCUCUCGUGGCACCAAUGUAAGGGUUUAUGGCAGGGGAAACGGUGUUGCUGUAGUCUAGUGUGUUGUGUGGGAAUAGUUACAAGCGAACCUGGGGACUUUUGUGUUUACAUUGUCCUAAAAAUGGGAACCGGACCACAGAAUUCAAGCAAACCCAACUCAGACCACCUCUCGAGAUGAUUUCGGUUCGCUUCGGUGGAUCUUUUGAGGGGUUUGAGUUUCUCUGGAGUGUUAACAAUGUAAAAUAAAUUAAGCGAACUGCACAGAGUUCACAAAUAUUGGCUGAAAGGGAACAAAUGUGAAAACACCCUAUGUUGUGUCCUUUUGGGGUAACAGAUAGAUCUGCUUUCCAAACAGUCAAUUGUUUGGUAAAUGGUGAUUACUUACCAUCUUUGUUUUCUGGAAAUGUGAAGUGUGGUUUGUGACACUAUUGUAAUUAGUCAUUUUCAAAUGUCAAAGAUGUCACUGGACAUUCAGUAAACAUUACUCAUUGCAUCUUUAAGCACUGUACAGCAAAGCUAUUGUCAACACAAAGAUGUGAUGGAAAGGAUUUGUUAUAUUGAUUCUGUGCUGAUCAUUUUCAUUCUUUAGCUGUCUCGUUAUCAAUGCAAAAGUUUUAAAGUUUUUAUAUACAGUUGUCUUACAAUAAAAGUAUCUUGACUUUG